rnacentral:piRNA from 1 species
UAAGCCUCUUGUGUUUUCAUUACAAAAGAC